CUUCGCCAACUGCUGGUGCAAGUGGUGGCAGUGGUGUCAGUGGUGCU
rnacentral:sRNA from 1 species